AAUUUCUGUUUGGCAUCUUGCUGGGAGAAAAAUUUAUUAAGAGGAUUUUAAUUGAAGUAAAAUUGAAAAUGUUUUCCUGUACAAACAUUUGUAUAUAUUGAUAAGUACAGAAUUCCAUGAUUUGAUUGUAUUAAUUAUUAAGGGCUCAGCUAAUUGCAGAACUGUCAUAGAUCAUGAAAAUAUAUUUUUACAGCAAAAUAAUAUUCUUAAAAAUACAGCUAGCUCAUAUCACUUUAUAUUUUCAUCAUUUUGAAGAAUUUUGAUGUCGAAUAUUAAAUAAGGAACUUCAUUUUAUUUUUGAAAUAUGAAUAAUAACAAAUAUGUAUUUAUUUAUAAUGUUUACGAUUUGUAAACACAAAUCAAGAAUAUGUAUUUGAUGACAAAUUAGAAAUUGUUUUGCAAUACAUGUAUAUAUCCAUUUACAUGUUAUACUAUCAAGGGUUUCACUUAAAAUAAAAAUAUCAAAUCU
rnacentral:misc_RNA from 1 species